AUUGAACGCUGGCGGCAUGCCUUACACAUGCAAGUCGAACGGUAACAGGUUAAGCUGACGAGUGGCGAACGGGUGAGUAAUACAUCGGAACGUGCCCAGACGUGGGGGAUAGCUCGGCGAAAGCCGGAUUAAUACCGCAUAAGCUCUGAGGAGGAAAGCGGGGGACCGUAAGGCCUCGCGCGUUUGGAGCGGCCGAUGGCAGAUUAGGUAGUUGGUGGGGUAAAGGCUUACCAAGCCUACGAUCUGUAGCUGGUCUGAGAGGACGACCAGCCACACUGGGACGGAGACACGGCCCAGACUCCUACGGGAGGCAGCAGUGGGGAAUUUUGGACAAUGGGCGAAAGCCUGAUCCAGCAAUGCCGCGUGCAGGAUGAAGGCCUUCGGGUUGUAAACUGCUUUUGUACGGAACGAAAAGGCGCCUACUAAUACUGGGUGUUGAUGACGGUACCGUAAGAAUAAGCACCGGCUAACUACGUGCCAGCCGCCGCGGUAA
rnacentral:rRNA from 1 species